rnacentral:rRNA from 1 species
CCCUUAGAUGUUCUGGGCAGCACGCGCGCUACAAUGGUCUUUGCAAACGGAUGCAUUCUCGAAGGAGAAUGCCAAUCUUGGAAUCUAUGCCUUGGUCGGGACAGUUGCUUGCAAUUUUUCGACUCGAACCAGGAAUUCCUUGUAAUCGUGAUUCAUCACAUCACGAUGAAUACGUCCCUGCCCUUUGUACACACCGCCCGUCGCUCCUACCGAUCGAAGAGUUAGGUGAAUUGUUUUGAUCGAUAAGAUUUGACUAUGGUCAACUCUCGUUGUGAAAUUCUGUGAAUCUGACUGUUUAGAGGAAGGAAAAGUCGUAACA